rnacentral:lncRNA from 1 species
AAGGAAAGAGGGGAAUAGCCUAAAUUCUAAUAUUUAAUUAGUGAAGCAUUUUCUUCUUCUUUUCUUUAUCUCCUCUCUUUCUUUUACUCCUCCCUCUUCGCCAUCUAUUUUCUUUUUUUCCUCUUUCUUUCCUUCUUUCUUCUCUCUAUUUCUAGUUUCAUUAUUUUCAGUUUUUCUCUUUUCGGAACUUCUACGACUUGGAAAUGAUUUUCUCUUCCUUUUUUAUUCUCUGUUUCGGGUUUCUUUAUUUUAUGGUCCUUCUCUUUUACUAAUUCCCUGAACCCUUU